rnacentral:rRNA from 2 species
GAAUCCCGUCUUUGACACGGACUGCCUGUACAUUAUGGUGUGCUCUCGAAGAGUCGAGUUGUUUGGGAAUGCAGCUCAAAAUGGGUGGUAAAUGCCAUCUAAAGCUAAAUAUUGGCGAGAGACCGAUAGCGAACAAGUACCGUGAGGGAAAGAUGAAAGGAACUUUGGAAAGAGAGUUAAACAGUACGUGAAAUUGCUGAAAGGGAAACGCUUGAAGUCAGUCGCGUUGGCUAGAAAUCAACCUUGCUUUUGCUUUGUGUACUUUCUGGUUGACGGGUCAGCAUCAAUUUUGACCACUGGAUAAAGUCUUUGGGAAUGUGGCAUCUUCGGAUGUGUUAUAGCCCCUUGUUGUAUACUUCGACUGGGACUGAGGACCGCAGCACGCCCUUGGCCGGGGUUCGCCCACGUACGUGCUUAGGAUGUUGGCAUAAUGGCUUUAAGCGACCCGUCUUGAAACACGGACCAAGGAGUCUAACAUGCCUGCGAGUGUUCGGGUGGAAAACCCGUGCGCGCAAUGAAAGUGAAAGUUGGGACCUCUGUCGUGGAGGGCACCGACGCCCGGACCAGACCUUCUGUGACGGAUCUGCGGUAGAGCGUGUGUGUUGGGACCCGAAAGAUGGUGAACUAUGCCUGAAUAGGGUGAAGCCAGAGGAAACUCUGGUGGAGGCUCGUAGCGAUUCUGACGUGCAAAUCGAUCGUCAAAUUUGGGUAUAGGGGCGAAAGACUAAUCGAACCAUCUAGUAGCUGGUUCCUGCC